AGUUAUAAAAGUGGUUGCCAUUUAUAAAAUAUUAUCCCCUAAGUCAAAAUGACUAUUAGCAGCUUUUAUUAACAAGGCAAAAAAAGUGAAAGUGGGAAAUGUAGGAAAGAGUCAGAGCCUUAACAAACUACCAGCCCUAAGUCUUUCUCCAGUGAAGUCUGGCUCAGUCCUUGGCAGGGGCUUUACCCAGUCCUAAUCUUCAUGUGGAUUUCCCAUUAGUCCUCAGCCAGAAGUCCCAGUGGUGUCUUCAGCCAGAGUUCUAGCAAUGUAAAAUGACUCCAAGGAAAGAAAGUAGCUUUACUCAGCCACAUAGAACCUAAGGAAAGAAUCCCUCCAAAAGCCAAGGAAGGAAUGUUUCCAAGCCAGAAGAGAGACAAAUUCAGGAAGACAUGAUCUUUUAUAGUCCUUUAACCAUGUCACUUCCUGUCUCUCCCUUACUUUACAGGAACCAAUCACAGUUUUCAAAUUGCCUAGUGCUCCCUAGGGGGGGAAGUGUCUGCAGGAUCCACCUCUUGUCCUUUGAAGGAAUUUGGGGUAUACUGAAGGGGACCUGGUGCUCACCACAGAAUCACAGAUGAUCAGAGUAGGAAGGGACUUUAGAAGCCAUCUGGUCAAACCUAUUCUUGAACAAGAAUCCCCUUCCAGGCCAUAUCCAACGAAUGAUCAUCUAACCUCUGCUUGAAGACCUCUAAGGAGGGGGGGAUCCACUAUUUCCUGAAACAACCAGU
rnacentral:lncRNA from 1 species